rnacentral:rRNA from 1 species
CACGUAGGGGGCGAGCGUUGUCCGGAUUUAUUGGGCGUAAAGAGCUCGUAGGCGGUUUCGUAAGUCGGAUGUGAAACUCCAGGCUCAACUUGGAGACGCCAUUCGAUACUGCGAUGACUUGGAGUCCGGUAGGGGAGUGUGGAAUUCCGUGGUGUAGCGGUGAAAUGCGCAGAUAAUCAGGAGGAACACCGGCGGCGAAGGCGGCACUCUGGGACGGUACUGACGCUGAGACGCGAAAGCGUGGGGAGCGAACAGG